AACUGCGAGUGAAGCGGGAAAAGCUCAAAUUUAAAAUCUGGCGGUUUUGUCGCCCGAGUUGUAAUCUGGAGAAGCGUUUUCCGUGCCGGACCGUGUACAAGUCUCUUGGAACAGAGCGUCAUAGAGGGUGAGAAUCCCGUCCAUGACACGGACUCCCGGUGCUUUGUGAUACGCUCUCGAAGAGUCGAGUUGUUUGGGAAUGCAGCUCAAAAUGGGUGGUAAGCUCCAUCUAAAGCUAAAUAUUGGCGAGAGACCGAUAGCGAACAAGUACCGUGAGGGAAAGAUGAAAAGCACUUUGGAAAGAGAGUUAAACAGUACGUGAAAUUGUUGAAAGGGAAACGCUUGAAGUCAGUCGCGUCUUACUUGACUCAGCCUUGCUUCGGCUUGGUGUAUUUCAAGUAGGAUGGGUCAACAUCGAUUUUGACCGGUGGACAAGGGGUGAAGGAAUGUGGCACUCUUCGGAGUGUGUUAUAGCCUUUUCUCAUAUACAUCGGUUGGGAUUGAGGCCCGCAGCGCGCCCUUGUGGCCGGAGGUUCGCCUCACGUAACGCGCUUAGGAUGUUGGCAUAAUGGCUUUAAGCGACCCGUCUUGAAACACGGACCAAGGAGUCUAACAUGCUCGCGAGUGUUAGGGUGGAAAACCCUUGCGCGUAAUGAAAGUGAAAGUUGAGACCCUCCGCAAGGGGGUGCAUCGACGCCCGGCCCUGAAGUUUACUGACGGUGCUGCGGUAGAGCGCGUAUGUUGGGACCCGAAAGAUGGUGAACUAUGCCUGAAUAGGGCGAAGCCAGAGGAAACUCUGGUGGAGGCUCGUAGCGAUUCUGACGUGCAAAUCGAUCGUCSAA
rnacentral:rRNA from 1 species